rnacentral:sRNA from 1 species
AUGCGAGCUGAGAACAGCUGCGCGCCCGCCUAGCGCUGCGAACGCGGAGUGAGAGGCGCUUCAGAGACUGGAGGGACGGACCUGCAGGAGCCAGGGCUGCCCGCCGAGCUGCAGUUGCCGCUACUGCCGCUGUCAGCGCCCGACUGAAGAGUGACAGCCGCAAAAGCAGGAGUGAGCACCGAACCCCGCGCUUCUACCUAACAGGUGCAUGCACCGAUCUGGUGAGUGGACCCAGCUCGCAAGCUUAUCCAACAAAAGUAUUAACAUAUACAUUAACAACGUCGAAAGUAGCCUACUUUAAGAGAAAAUAUGCAGAAGAAGAAGAUUUACAUCAAGAUUACCAUGGGUAUUUUCCAAAACACCUGAUAUUACCUGAGGACAGAACUUGCAUUCUCAAACUUUCUCUGGAGAAGCUCAGGUUUCUUGAAGACCCAGAAACCUACUUAAGAAGGUCUGUGUUAAUUAACAAUUUGCUGAGGAAGAUACAUCUAGAGACGGAGAAAGAGAGCUAUGAAUACUUUAAAGAAGCUCCCUGUUAUAAGACUGCAUAUUCUGAUACAAGAAAACGGCUGAAGUUUAUGGUACAGGAAUGCUGUUCUCAGUCUCUCUAUUAUGAAGAGCUGCAUUCGUAUCAUAUUGUGCCUUAUGCUUCGGAGAAUGCCAUUUAUGAAAUGGGCUACACUAGCAGCCACUUGGAGCAAAAUUCUCAGUUGCUUAUUUAUAAAAUGAAUUAA